CGCACUUAUUCGAGGCUAAUUUGUCGAUAUAUACUGUAUACGUGAUAUGUCCGUGACAAGGAAACGGAAGAUACAUAAUGCAGACUUGUUUGAUUACUAAUUUUUCCAGGAAGUCUUCGAAUUACGUUUUCAAAUCUAGUUUCUAGACGGAAUGGCAUUUCUGAUUUCCUGUGUUCUGCACUUCUUGGGAAGAUUUGACAUGGGC